GAUGAACGCUGGCGGCGUGCCUAAUACAUGCAAGUCGAGCGAACAGACGAGGAGCUUGCUCCUCUGACGUUAGCGGAGGACGGGAGAGUAACACGUGGAUAACCUACCUAUAAGACUGGGAUAACUACGGGAAACCGGAGAUAAUACCGGAUAAUAUAUUGCACCGCAUGGUUCAAUAGUGAAAGACGGUGGUGCUGUCACUAAUAGAUGGAUCCGCGCCGCAUUAGCUAGUUGGUAAGGUAACGGCUUAUCAAGGCGACGAUGCGUAGCCGACCUGAGAGGGUGGUCGGCCACCCUGGAACUUAGACACGGUCCAGGCUCCUACGGGAGGCAGCAGUAGGGAACCUGCCGCAAUGGUCGAAAGCUUUACGGAGCAACGCGGCGUGAGUUAUGAAGGUCUUGGGAUCGGAAAACUCUGUUAUUAGUGAAGAACAAAUGUGUAAGGAACUAUGCCCUGCUUGACGGUACCGAAUCAGAAAGCCACGGCUAACUACGUG
rnacentral:rRNA from 1 species